UGGGGAAUAUUGGACAAUGGGCGAAAGCCUGAUCCAGCCAUGCCGCGUGUGUGAAGAAGGUCUUCGGAUUGUAAAGCACUUUAAGUUGGGAGGAAGGGCAGUAAGCGAAUACCUUGCUGUUUUGACGUUACCGACAGAAUAAGCACCGGCUAACUCUGUGCCAGCAGCCGCGGUAAUACAGAGGGUGCAAGCGUUAAUCGGAAUUACUGGGCGUAAAGCGUGCGUAGGUGGUUCGUUAAGUUGAAUGUGAAAGCCCCGGGCUCAACCUGGGAACUGCAGCAAAAACUGGCGAGAUAGAGUAGGGCAGAGGGUGGUGGAAUUUCCUGUGGAGCGGUGAAAUGCGUAGAUAUAGGAAGGAACACCAGUGGCGAAGGCGACCACCUGGGCUCAUACUGACACUGAGGUGCGAAAGCGUGGGGAGCAAACAGG
rnacentral:rRNA from 1 species